rnacentral:rRNA from 1 species
UACGUAGGUCCCGAGCGUUGUCCGGAUUUAUUGGGCGUAAAGCGAGCGCAGGUGGUUUAUUAAGUCUGGUGUAAAAGGCAGUGGCUCAACCAUUGUAUGCAUUGGAAGCUGGUAGACUUGAGUGCAGGAGAGGAGAGUGGAAUUCCAUGUGUAGCGGUGAAAUGCGUAGAUAUAUGGAGGAACACCGGUGGCGAAAGCGGCUCUCUGGCCUGUAACUGACACUGAGGCUCGAAAGCGUGGGGAGCAAACGGG